rnacentral:tRNA from 1 species
GGGCCCAUAGCUCAGUUGGUUAGAGCGCCCGGCUCAUAACCGGUAGGUCCCAGGUUCAAGNCCUGGUGGGCCCACAA